rnacentral:rRNA from 1 species
UCCCUACGGGAGGCAGCAGUGAGGAAUAUUGGUCAAUGGGCGAGAGCCUGAACCAGCCAAGUCGCGUGAGGGAAGACGGUCCUAUGGAUUGUAAACCUCUUUUGUCGGGGAGCAAAAAGACUACGUGUAGUCCCAAGCGAGAGUACCCGAAGAAAAAGCAUCGGCUAACUCCGUGCCAGCAGCCGCGGUAAUACGGAGGAUGCGAGCGUUAUCCGGAUUUAUUGGGUUUAAAGGGUGCGUAGGCGGUCCGUUAAGUCAGCGGUAAAAUUGCGGGGCUCAACCCCGUCGAGCCGUUGAAACUGGCA